rnacentral:rRNA from 1 species
UACGGAGGGUGCAAACGUUGCUCGGAAUCAUUGGGCGUAAAGCGCACGUAGGCGGCCUUAUAAGUCGGGUGUGAAAGCCCUCGGCUCAACCGAGGAAGUGCAUUCGAAACUGCAAGGCUUGAAUAUGGAAGAGGGUCGCGGAAUUCCCGGUGUAGAGGUGAAAUUCGUAGAUAUCGGGAGGAACACCAGUGGCGAAGGCGGCGACCUGGGCCAAUAUUGACGCUGAGGUGCGAAAGCGUGGGGAGCAAACAGG